rnacentral:rRNA from 1 species
ACGAACGUUGGCGGCGUGCUUAAUACAUGCAAGUCGAGCGAGAACGGAGGGGGCAACUCUCCUAGUAAAGGCGGCGAAAGGGUGCGUACGACAUGGAGAACGUACCCCGGAAACCGGGAUAACCCAGGGAAACUUGGGCUAAUACCGGAUAACGUCGCGGCGGGGCAUCCCGUUGCGACCAAAGACGCGAGUCAUUCGGGAGCGUUCCAUGGCCUAUCAGCUAGUUGGCGGGGGGUAACGGCCCACCAAGGCGAUGACGGGUAGCCGGACUGAGAGGUUGACCGGCCACACGGGGACUGAGACACGGCCCCGACAUCUACGGAUGGCAGCAGUAGGGAAUAUUGCGCAAUGGGCGAAAGCCUGACGCAGCGACGCCGCGUGGGGGGAUGAAGGCCUUCGGGUUGUUAAACCCCUUGUCAUGAGGGAAGAACACUGAACUUUAACCUCAGGAAGAAGCACCGGUCUAACUCCCGUGCAGCAGCUGCGGUAAUACGGAGAGUGCGAACGUUGGUUACGGAUUCACUGGCGUAAAGGGCACGUAGGCGGCCCGUCAAAUCGAUCGUGGAAUACCGACGCUUACCGUCGGUGCGGCGGUCGAAAAUACCGGGCUCGAGGGGCGUGAGGGGUCGCUGGAACUCCUGGUGGAGCGGUGGAAAUGCGUAGAUAUCAGGAGGAACGCCGGAGGCGGAAAGCGAGCGACUGGCGCGUUCCUGACGCUGAGGUGCGAAAGCUGGGGGAGCAACAGGAUGUAGAUACCCUGGUAGUCCCAGCCGUAAACGAUGGUCACUAGGUGGAGUGAGGGCCUGCCCAUCUCUGCCGCAGCUAACGCGUUAAGUGACCCGCCUGGGGAGUACGGCCGCAAGGUUAAACUCAAGGAAUUGACGGGGCUCGCACCAAGCGGUGGAGCAUGUGGUUCAAUUCGAUGCAACGCGAAGAACCUUACCCGGGCUUGAAAGUGGAGUGUGGUAGGAACCGGAAACGGUAACGACCCCGCAAGGGGAGCCUUCAUCAGGUGUUGCAUGGCUGUCGUCAGCUCGUGUCGUGAGAUGUUAGCUUAAGUGCUGUAACGAGCGAAACCCCUGUUCCUAGUUGCAACCCGCAAGGGGGCACUCUAGGAAGACUGCCCGUGCUGAUGGGAGGAAGGUGGGGAUGACGUCAAGUCAUCAUGGCCCUUAUGUCCGGGGCAACACACGUGCUACAAUGGCGGGGACAAAGGGUUUGCGAAGCCGCGAGGCGGAGCCAAUCUCAAAAACCCCGCCCCAGUUUGGAUCGGAGGCUGCAACUCGCCUCCGUGAAACCGGAAUCGCUAGUAAUCGCAGAUCAGCCACGCCGCGGUGAAUAUGUUUCCCGAGCCUUGUACACACCGCCCGUCAAGCCACCCAAGCACGGAGUACCUGAAGCCCGUUGACCAACCGCAAGGAGGUCGCGGUCCAAGGUAAGACGUGUGAGGAGGGCU